AGUGGCGGACGGGUGAGUAACGCGUGAGAAUCUGCCUUCAGGUCGGGGACAACAGAGGGAAACUUCUGCUAAUCCCGGAUGAGCCUUAGGGUAAAAAAUUUAUUGCCUGGAGAUGAGCUCGCGUCUGAUUAGCUAGUUGGUAAGGUAAAAGCUUACCAAGGCAACGAUCAGUAGCUGGUCUGAGAGGAUGAGCAGCCACACUGGGACUGAGACACGGCCCAGACUCCUACGGGAGGCAGCAGUGGGGAAUUUUCCGCAAUGGGCGAAAGCCUGACGGAGCAAGACCGCGUGGGGGAGGAAGGCUCUAGGGUUGUAAACCCCUUUUCUUUGGAAAGAACAAAAUGACGGUACCAAAGGAAUCAGCCUCGGCUAACUCCGUGCCAGCAGCCGCGGUAAUACGGAGGAGGCAAGCGUUAUCCGGAAUGAUUGGGCGUAAAGCGUCCGCAGGUGGCAAUGUAAGUCUGCUGUCAAAACCCAGGGCUCAACUCUGGUCAGGCAGUGGAAACUACAUAGCUAGAGUUCGGUAGGGGCAAAGGGAAUUCCCGGUGUAGCGGUGAAAUGCGUAGAGAUCGGGAAGAACAUCGGUGGCGAAAGCGCUUUGCUAGACCGAAACUGACACUCAGGGACGAAAGCUAGGGGAGCGAAUGGGAUUAGAUACCCC
rnacentral:rRNA from 1 species